rnacentral:lncRNA from 1 species
UUCCCCAUCUGUCGCACCACAGUGGCCGCUCCAUACGAACCCUACGCAGCUCGACCGUCCUCUGGCGGCGCAGGGCCCAGACGCUGGCCGUGCACGGCCAGAAACCGCGAGGCCCAGUUCUCUCUGGUGACCUUGUCCUCUAGGGCCAUCCGUCUCCCCAACCUACCGCUUGAUGUCCCUUGAUUUCUCUCUCUACUGGGACA